rfam:Triticum aestivum genome assembly, contig: Triticum_aestivum_CS42_TGACv1_scaffold_130159_2BL
UUUGUACUCCCUCCGUCCCAAAAUUCUUGUCUUAAAUUUGUCUAAAUAUGGAUGUAUCUAGUUACAUUUAAGUGUUAGAUACAUCCAUAUCUAAACAAAUGUAAGACAAGAAUUUUGGGACGGAGGGAAUAGUAC